GGGAAAGUGGCUGAGCGGUUAAAAGCGGCAGACUGUAAAUCUGUUGAUUCAUAUCAUCGUAAGUUCAAAUCUUACCUUUCCC
rnacentral:tRNA from 1 species